AAAAAAGAGAAACAAUCUCGAGGUAACUCUUUUUCCGCUCUUUUUCACCCAACCUUCAGUUGUUGUUAUUGUAAGUGCAAGUAUUGUAUUCCUAUUUGCUUUAAUUGUGUUGAUUACCCGUUUCAAUCGACUUUGAAUUUGUUUUUAUUUAUCUCUAUUGAACUUGUGAAUGUUAAUUGUCACCAAAUUGUCACCAAGAUUCAAUUGAUUGGAAAGAAAUAUGGAAAAGAACUGAUCAGAUGAUUUACUGUUUGAACCAAAUGUGCUUUUACUUAUGCAUAUACAUUAUGUAAACAAGAACCAUAUUAAUUUUAAUUAUGCUGAUCAACUGAUAAUGAUAGAAGAAAUUGGAUUAAUGUUAAAAUCAUCAUGCCAACAGUUAACUUGAACAUUUGAUUCCAUGUGUGCCUCUUUUCUGGAUAAUUAUCAAUUUAAUUUGUGUCCCGCUGAUUUAUAGUAUUGGUUUUUACCACAAGUGGCUACUGACAGGCUUGAGCAAAGAGGAGCAAGAGAUAGCACGAGAAUAGAAGACCUCAAAUUGAGAUAAGGGGCUAGCUCCUCAAUCGGUUGAUAGAUGGGUCUGAUUGAAAGAGAAAAGAAAGGGGAAAAGAAAGUAAAAAUUAACCUCUUUGAAUUAUCUCUUCAAAUUAAAAGUUAAUUUUUUUAUAAUUUUUCACAAUUCUUAUUUCUUGUCUUUCUUUAAUUAGAGCCAUCUAUCAACCGAUUGUUAACUUAUUUUUAUCUCAAUUUGAGGUCUUCUAUUCUCGUGCAGUCUCUUGUUACUCUUUGGGCUUGAGCCUUUGUUGACUUUCAAUAUUUUUACCAUAUUUGCUGUUAAAGAUGUUUUUUUAAUUAUUUUUUCCUCUUCAAAUUGUUAUUUAUUGGAUUUUCUUUCGGCUUUUAUCUGUCCCAUCUGAGAAGCGGAAAUGAAAUGGAAACUCAUUGAGAGUGACCUUUAACCUUUUCAAUGUGAAGUCACUUUGGCAUGUAAAACUUGUUACAGAAGGAAGCUUUGUUUCCUGUUGUAACCCUGAAUACCGACUUAGUUGUUGAUGUCUCCGAGAUUGUCAGUUGACCCUUAUCAAAAGAGAGGCCCACUUGUUGUCCACAAGACAAUUUGAUCUACAAAAAGGCCUACUUUUACCGAGUAAAGUCUAAAGAAUAAUCGGAAGUGGAAAUUAACUGCUGUAAAUUAAGUUUACUCGUUCAAAAUUAUGUCCUGUUUUCAAAUCAUUAGAGCAUGAGUGUUAAAAUUUCAACUCAAGUUUGUUAGCUUGUUCACAGUUUUCGCUUGCAAUUUUAGCCAUCAAUGUGGUAAAUUGAUUGCCUUACUGAAGAUGAAACUGACAUGGAAAAACAAAUUUACCAAUUGAACAAUGAAGGAGCCAAAGCAGCAUCAACAAAGAAUAAUUUCAACUUGGUUUGUUUAACAAGGCAAAUAUGAAAAUCAAUGAAGCGUUGUGAGAAAAAAAGAAGGCCCAUGGUAUUCAAUUAGCUAAUCGAAAGAUGGAAACCAUCAAUAUGAAAAAGAAGUUAAUCGAGAAACAAAGCAAGGGAUUGAAUGAUACAAUUUUAAGGUCAAAUGAGGAAAAAAAGCAACCAGAAAAUCUUGCCGAGUUAUCCUUGAUUAUAUUAUCCAGGUAAACAAUGAUAUGGAAACAAGAAUACAAAGGAGGAGGAAGAGCUUUCACUAAACAUUUCAAGAUAGUCCAGUUGAUGUCCCUUAACUCACUUUUUCGUGCCUUUGCCUAUGAGGAUAACACGAAGGUCAACCACAGACUUGAGUCGACCGUACUAUUAAUACUAUAACACUGGGUCAUCACCAUUACAUCUUGAUCAUCUUGGCUCUUUCGCUCCUCGUUUAUGCACUAUUUGACCCUAACCAAGAAACUGGUUUGGUCAAGGUUCGCUAUCUAUGAUUGUCACAUCUCUAGUUGCACAGCUAAUUUAUCUCUAAUGAAUGAAAUAAUAGCAUAAUUAAUGGUGAAGUGAACACAAUUUCCUCGAUGGAUACAGCAACAUUAACCAAGGCCAAUAGAGAGAUAAUAAUGAAUUUAUAUAAUUUGGAUAGUUUUACAAAAUUAUAAUUACUCAAAUUAUUUUCUUUGUUUCUUCUUUCCGUCAUUUUUAAACAUCUUAUAGCUUCAAAUUAAACGAGGGAAUUAAACACAAGGUGAAUGAAAAGUUUCCGGAGUCAAUGGUUUCUAUUCUUACAAUAUUCCUUGUACUUGUGUUGAUCACUUUACGAGAUGCCACAGGAAGAGAAGAGGCCAAGUAAGGUGAUUACUAUUGUAAGGUGGACUGAAGUUUGCCAGUGCUUGUGUUUUGAAAAUGAGCCCUUUUUACACUUCCAAUAACCUGUACCAGGAGAAAUAACCUUUCUACAUUCUUAAAAGCCAGGUGAAUUAUCAACAAAAGGCAAAUUUGGCGAUCACCUUAUUUUAUAAGUUCCAGAGGAAAGUUAAAUGUGAAGAAAGAAAGGAGAAGAAAGAAAAGACCAUCAAGUUGAAGGAAACAACGAUUUAGGUCUACUAGACAACACCGAAAUAAAGUCUAUUCACUGUUUUGGAGGAAUAAAGCAUUGGAUAGAGAUGAAAGUAUAUGAAAGGUCAAACCAUCUGUCCUUUGGUUACCUUCAUUUUACUGUCAUGUAUGUAUUUAGGUUUACCUGAGGUCACAAGAGAGUCACGCGUGCAAGUUACUUUGAUUGAGCCUGAAUGUUUGGUUAAUCAUCAACUUAGGGGAACCCUAUGUCUGUUAUACACAAGACUUUAACAUAAUAAUCGCUUUCCUGGUUUAGCUCAACCAAAUUGUUGUUGCAUUGCUGCUGUAUCUCAAAACAAGUAAACAUUUCAAGCUUAACAGUGGUUAACCGUUGAUGGUGAACGGUUUAUCCGAUUGACCAAAGCUGUGUAAAAAACAAGUCAUCCCUGCUGUUAAUUUAUUGCUUGAUUAUCGAAUCAACCAAUAUGUUUUUAGAGAUAAUUUCUGUAACUCAUCAAUUCAACUUUGAUGGACUGGCUAUUCACAUCAAAUUUAAGUCCUUUUAUGCAAUAUGGCAUUACCUAAAUUUGUUGGGUUUAGUAUUACAUGAAAUUUCACUGCAGUCAUUUUGAUGAUUGAAUGAAUAUUUAUAAUUUGUCUAUAGUACAUUGUGUAUUACAAUUCUGAAAUUUCUUUCGUAAAGUAUUUACUCUAACAUUUACUGUAAGUACAGUUCAGCGCUUCAGCGUUCAGUUCUCUUUCCGCUUUCUAAGAAGACGUACAAAACAUACACAUAUUUGUAAAUUUGUACAACACCCGCACCUAAACAUUCUUCGAGAAAAAGGCUAAAGGCUUAAUUAGGAUUGAUAUAAAGUAUGGUCAUAAUCCGAAGUCUAUGUCAAUUUCACUUUCUUUCACUAUUCUGCUCGAAAAAUAUACAAAACUUAAAAUCGUAAAAUAUGAAUCAUAACAAUAUCUCUUAACGUUGAUAAAUUGUAUACCAGAACUUUGUUUUCCUCUCUGUCGACCAUUUAUCCAGUUUUUCCGAAAAAACGAACAGACUCACUUGUUGAUUAAAAAUAUUGUACUUGAAA